rnacentral:lncRNA from 1 species
AUGAAGACGAUGAAAAAAAAAAACAAACAACAGGAUGAAGGUGAAGAUGACGAAAAAAAUGACGAACAAACCAAAACAGAAGAAGACAAAAUUAAAUCUAGAUUUAAUAAUGAAGAAUUUGAUGACGAAAAAGAAGAAGGAAAGAAAGGUGUACAACUUCGAAUACCAAAAAGUAAAUAUGGUCAACCAGACAUAAAAAUAAAUGGGAAGACUAUUAAAGAAAUUAAAGAAGGCAACAAAAAUGAAGAAAGCGCAAAUAAAGGAAGCGCAAAUGAAGGAAGCGCAAAUGAAGGAAGCGAAAAUGGAAAGAGCAAAAAUGAGAAAAGUGAAAGUGAGAAAAGUGAAAGCGACAGGCCUGAGGAAUAUGAAAAUGCAUCAGAUCAAAUAGAUGGUGAUGAUGAAACCAUUGAAUCAUAAGAGAAAAAAUUAGGGGAUUAAAAUUAGUUACAAGGCGAAAAAAUCCCCUUUUUGUAAUUCAUUCCUCUUUUUUAUUCAUUAAACAAUGAUAAUUUUUUUGUGUCAAUUUUCAUAUGUGUUGUUUUUAUGGGAAGACACGUACACAUGUAUACAUAUGUAUAUGUAUACAUAUUUAAUUAUUUUUAUAAGUGCUUACAAUUGUAAAUUUUUUUUUUUUUUGUUUUUUUUUUUUUUUUUGUCACCCCUCCCCCCUAAUUUCCUUAUGUAAAGCACAUAAGGAAUACCCGCAUAAACUACAUACUUCAUAAAUGAAGAGAGUAAUAAAAUUCUUUUAUCUUAUCA